AACAAACGCUGGCGGCGUGCCUAAUACAUGCAAGUCGAACGGGGAAAACUUUCGGGUGAGUACUAGUGGCGCACGGGUGAGGAACGCGUGGAUAAUCUGCCUUAGAGUGGGGGAUAACUAGUCGAAAGAUUAGCUAAUACCGCAUAAGACCACGAGAGCUGCGGCUUUUGAGUUCAAAGGUUUUUCGCUCUAAGAUGAGUCCGCGUAAGAUUAGCUAGUUGGUGAGGUAACGGCUCACCAAGGCGACGAUCUUUAACUGGUCUGAGAGGAUGAUCAGUCACACUGGAACUGAGACACGGACAAGACUCCUACGGGAGGCAGCAGUAGAGAAUAUUGCACAAUGGAGGGAACUCUGAUGCAGCGACGCCGCGUGGGUGAUGAAGGCCUUCGGGUCGUAAAGCUCUGUCGGAGGGGAAUAACACAAUGAAGGUACCCUGUAAGAAAGGAUCGGCUAACUACGUG
rnacentral:rRNA from 1 species